rnacentral:lncRNA from 1 species
UUUCUUUUUGUUUGUUAGGUUGAAGAGCUAUUGUUUCAGUUCGUCCAUGACCCUUAUGGGGUUGUGGGGGAUGUUGCACUCAGAGAACUUGUUUCUUGCAGUAGUAGGAUGAACUGGAUCAGAUAUUGGAAGUGGUACUGUCACAUAUCCUGGCAUCUGCUCAGGUAUGACUGGUUUUGAAUUUGGGACCUUAUACUUUAUGAAUUGUAAUAUGUAUUCUGAUAUAACUGUUAUAUUUAAGCGUUGUCAUUUGCCCCAUACUGAUUAAAAACGACAACAAACGACAGUUCUAAUUAUGUUUUCACAUGUCCACAAUUCAAGUUAAUCAACCUUGGUGAAACUUGAACAUGUAGCUUCCAACCAGCUUAAGGAAAAGGUGUGCUGCCAAUUUCCCGAGCCUUAUUCUAAUCCAUAAUUUUCACUCAAAUCACUUGAUUCAUAUUCGUAAUUUAGUGCCUAUAUAUUUUAUUUUCUGUUAUCACUGAAACUGUGUGUGUUCGCCCUCUGAAAAAAUUUACUGGUCCAUAUCCAUGAUAUCUUGGUACAUGAUGUUGUUAUCCAAAACAAGACAGAAGAUAUUUGCAUUAGUAAAUUUAUAGUUCUAGCUGAUGGAUUGUCCAAAGGAGAAAAAUUUAGUUUAAAUAACAACACUUAUGUGGAUGUUUCUUAUUGGCUAGUUUUGACAUGGAGAGCUACAUCUGAUUUUUCCUACUUGUAUUUCUAUUCCAUUAUACUUUUCAGGAGCACGUGAAGCUCGCAUGUCAUUGUACUAAGAACUAUAUUUCACAUAACUAUACUAACUUGACGCAAUUUCAGCCUGCAGCAUGGCACAUGAGUCUUCGACAUCAUUGAGGAUUUCUGCAUCGGCAAAUUGGAAGACUGAUGUGGAAUAGGAGAGGAUGUAAAAGCUCCCAAGUGUGAACCCAUGUGCUCGUCUACAAUUCCUUGAAGAUGAUGAGAACGAACAAAACCAUUUCGUAAUUGUGAUGAGGACUGCUCCAGGGCCCAGCUUUGUGGUUCUGAUCACAUGUUUGACCUCCUGCUUACUCUGGUACAUGGUCUCCAUCCACCCAUCGUCAACAUAUGGCCUCGCCGGAUCGCCAGACAACACCGUCGUCUACGUCUGUCUCGCCUGACAGGCACUGUCCUCGACCUCUGCGUCACAGUUAAUUGUGUACUAGUAAUUCCUUUGGAGAACUUGUUACAGUUAUUCUAACUCCGCCAUGUAUCCAUGAACUUGUUAGAUUCUGAAUAUGUAAUUUUCCAGACAGUCGGGUAGCAUUCAAGUGCUCCGUAUGCGCCAACACUCUCAAAAUUCACUUCCUUUUCUGCUCUUUUGCUCCCUGAGACACAACUCUGACUGACUUAUUCAUGUCUUAGAGCAUCUGCAAC